AAGUGCUCGCUCCCAUCAUGGCUGUGCGCACUCGCUCCAACCAUGGGCGGACGUGCUCGCUCCCACCAGGGCCGAUACCGGAGUGUGGCUCCACGGGUUCUCGCGCACAACAGUGAUCUCUUCUCGGAAAGGCAGGGCCCCCAGCAGCCAGGCGCAGUGACAGACGCCCCGUACGUGGGAGCGACUAUGCGGUCCCGGAGAAAGAGCGUUUCGACACACGACUUAGCUGGCCCUGGUCCCGAGUGCCGUGUACAUAAGUCUCUGAACUGAAGCAUCAAGAAGACCCUGAGUAAAUACUCCCAUCUCCCAGGUCUCCUCAUCUUCAUGUGUCAGAUGAAGGGAGUGAGUUACCCUAAACUUCCCUAGCACGAAGGUAUAAAAGAGUCUAACUGACUCCAAGAUUCUUGGCUCGGCCAUUACUCAAGCCACAAAUACUCCAGUUAUCCAAUGAGUCAGCGGCCUUCAACCGCACUUUAAAUAAAGG